AACAGCACUCCAAAGGUAUUUGUAUAGCAUUUAAUAUUUAGCCAAUCCUUUACGAUCAGACUGUUUCUUUUCCUCCUAGCAACCUAAAGUAGUUCAUUACUAUCACAUUCUGUAUAGAAAUGAAGAAGCUGAGGCCCCAAGGCAUAAACAGUUUAUUAUACUUACUCUAUCAGUCAAGUGAGAAUCAAGUCAUCAAGUUGAAUAACACUUUUAAUUUCUUUUUUAUUUUAUGUCCUAAGUAUAAUUGACUAUACAAAGAAGAUUUAAUCCUAGCAGAAGGAACAAAAAAAUCUCAGAUAAAAUAUGAAUCUGGUGCUAUACAAUAAAAAAUAUUCCUGUGCUUUUUUCCUUUUCUCUCUUCAAUAACCUUUCCUUUUGUCUGAAUUAUCUGCUAAAUUACCCAUAAAAUAUGCUAUCAGCUUAUUUUAGACUAAUACAAAAUUGUAAAAAAUUUAAAAAAAAAAAACACAGGUGACUAAAAACCUUAAAAAGAAAGGGAAAAGUCACUGAGAUUGAAUUGCAACUCCAGAGCCUUUAUCCUGUGAACUUCUCUAGUUCAAAAGCAAUUUGUUUUUCUAAUAAAAUAGCAUAAACCCUGACUGUCUGAGGAGACUUCAAAGUCAUGUUCUCCAGCCUCAGCUGGGCCCUUACUGUCUGGCGAUUCUUUCAUACACCUUUAUUGAAUCUCAGCCCAUUCACAUCUUUAGCUUCAUCUUCAACACAUAGAUUCCACAAGUUAUUCUGAUUUUUGGUAAAUGGAUCUUUUACCAUUUAUGGAUGAAUGAAUGAAUGUUUUCCUUUUUCAAUUCCCAACUUCACUUAAGCAAACAAAACUAUCUUCUCCUUUAAUUCCUCUCACACUUUGGGGAACUUUUCCUGUUAUCUCUAACAAGCUUAGAUGGACUCCAUUCUAAAGUGAACUUUCAUCAGCCCUGUUAUUUCCUCAGAUUAUCUCCUCUCUUGAUCCUAAUUUCUUGAGCUAUCAGUAUUUGGUUUUCCACAGCUUAUUCUCUCCCCAACCAUAACCCCAACCCCUAAAAACUGGCUUUUGCCUUCAAUUAUCUCCUUUUAUGUCAUACACAGGGCACAUUUAUUCACUCCGCAAAUUUUUUUGGAGUAUCACUUGGUGCAAGAAACGCGAUUGUAACUUGGAUUUUACAAUCUAGCAGGGAAGACAAUUAAGUAACCGGUGAACAAAAAAUACUUGGAAAUACAAGGUACGCUACAAAGGAGAUGAACAGGUAGACUGCUGGUGAAAGCAAGGGAAGACAACCUACUGGGGUAGCGUGGUCAGGAAGGCUUUUCNNNNNNNNNNNNNNNNAAUAACCGGUUGUUCUAUAGCCUGUAGAAUGACCCUUUAGGACAGACCAAUCUAUAAAGAUUUGAGGCAAGAAAGAACAUGGUGCCUUUGAAAAAUGAGUCAGUUCAAUACAGUAAGUAGGAUGUGAAGUAAGGGACCACGGAUCCUGGAAACAGACCCACUGGGGUCAGGAGCCAUUGCAGGCUCA
rnacentral:lncRNA from 1 species